AGGGGUUGAUGGAAUGCCAGCAGAGAGACCAGAUAGGAGAUUGUGGUGGUAAUUUGAACAAGUGAUCAUAAACAAUCUAACUCUCACCCUUAGUACUCCUGUUGACCUGAAGAAGAUGCAGACAUGAGGCAUACAAUCCACAAUAGAAGCCCACAGAUCCUUAAACUAUAUAUGGGCAUCAGGAAUUCAUAAGCCCCCGAAAGUGAAGACUGAUUUGGUUCAUGCAAUAUGUAUACUUCACUGGAAAGAUAGGUAUAACAUAUUCUCAAAGGGUGAAUCACCCCCUUCCCUCCAAUUUUUAACAUCUGCACCAAAAGCCUGAAGAAGUUGAGGCAGUUUCUCUAGUGCCUAACACCACACCUAGGGAAACCCCAUCUUCCUAGAUAAUUAGGUCAGGGCUUUACACAGAAGAGAAAUGAUUUUUUGAGACGUGUAUCUUUUGGCUAAAAUCAAUGUAGAUUUGUAACUCUACAGAAGCAGUGGUAAUUGUGACUCUCCCAGCAGAAUUUAAGCAACAAUUUAUAAAAGUUUAGAGAGAAAGUCUUUUGGUGGUAGAGGUGAAGAAACAUUGAAAAAUGGCACAUUUGAUUGACAGUCUUUGAUAUAAUCAGGACUUGCUGGGAUUUCUAAGACACAACAUAGCAGCAAAGUCCAGUUUAUCUUAACUCUUAACGUACAUUAUUGAGAUGUAAUCUACACUAGUAUAAUUUUUCCUUGUAAGGAACCAAAAUGCUAUGUGUUUCAGAAAACAGUACAAAUAGCUAGUAGUCUCAAAAUGACUCAGAUGAUUUAAUCUGGAAUAUUGUUGCAUAAAUGAUUUAUAAGAUAACUAGUAGGACUAUUUUAUAUCAAUAUCAAGAUUGUCUGAUCUUAAUCAGAAUCACCAGUGAAAUGUGUAUUUCACUGCUAUUGCUAUGUAGGUACUAAGUAUCCAGCUGCAUACUGGAAACUACAGACAUUUACAAAAAGAUGCCAACUGGAUGAUACAAAAUACAGCUUGGAGCAUAAAUGCUGCCUUCUAAAUGCAAUGUGCUUAUUGAUUACUUUCUAUAAAAUAAAUCCUCAGUUAUUGAGAAUUGGGACUCUGGUGUCUUAAACAUACUUUGUUCUCAUAUUUUGGAGAAAUAACGCCUAUUUAUGCUGAGAUUUUACUAUAAUUUUGAUUUACUUUUUGUUUAGUAAUUCAUGGAUAUAUACAUAUUUAUAUUUAUACACACAUAUUUAUCACAUAUACACAUAAAUAUGUAAAUUACAAAGCAAAAUUUAUAAUGAAUAGCCAAUCUAAGUACUGGGAUAUUGGCCAAGUUUUCAUCUACCUGUAUCUCCUUUCCUACUUCACCUGUUUUUCUCUCUUUAGAGCUAAUGACUAAGGUUACCUAUUUUGCCUAUUGUAUAAAUACAAUGUCUUGUAUUUAUUAUUCAUAUACUUUUUGAUAAAAUAGCUGUUUUAUAUAUAUCAUAUAUUUGAUAUAUAUUCUGAAAUAAUAAACUAUCUUUUUUUACUUAUUUUUAAGCUUAGAAAAUAAUAUUAAAUACAUGCAGUUUUCUGGGACUUUCUCUUUACUUACUCUUACGUUCAUUUAUUUCUCAUCAGUAUAUAAUAUUUCAUUGAGUGAAUAUUCUACAAUCUAUAUAUCCAUUCUUUUAUCAUUAGACACUACAAUUCUAAUGGUUCCAAUUUGAAAAUUGUGAAAAUGUCUUAACUGCAUUUUGCAAAUAAUUUUUUAUUCUCAUUUCCAUCAUCUAAAAUGACCGUGUCUAGGAGUUCCCGUCGUGGCGCAGCAGAAACGAAUCAGACUAGGAACUAUGAGGUUGAGGGUUUGAUCCCUGGCCUCUCCCAGUGGGUUAAAGAUCUGGCAUUUCUGUGAGUUGUGGUGUAGGUUGCAGACGCAGCUCAGAUCCUGCAUUGCCAUGGCUAUGGCGUAGGCUGGCACCUGUAGCUCUGAUUCGACCCCUAGCCUGGGAACUUCCAUAUGCCAUGGGUACAGCCCUAAAAAGCAAUAAAAUAAAAUGACCGUGUCUAGACUGAAUCUACUUCUCUGUAGGUAUAGAUAGUAAGACUGUUUCAGAACUGAUCCUAACUUUUGACUAUUAUUUUUUCUUCCUGGAAAUAUUUCUCCUAUCAGCUGACUCUCUGGCUAGUCACUUAUUCCCUUGUUUACACAGUAAAGAAAGACAAGCCGUAGGACACUUUUGGUGGUAUAUAGGGCCACCUUCCUAGACAAAAAUGUAUUAAAUGAAAGGCCAAAGCGUCUUUGUUUCAGGAGAUGUUUUUGUGAUCUGGAAAAAAAAUCCUUUUUUAUUGGUUGGACUGGCAACAGUCUUUUUUCACCAGCACAAAAAUAUAUUUUUUGUCUAUAAAUCUACAGAGCACAGGCAGGGCCUUCAGCUCCCUGUUUUGUCUCCUUUGCUUGGAGAUUGUGGAUAGGAUGUGAAAGGAGAUUGCCCUUCAGUACAGCAGGUAUUUUUUGUGAGAGUGUUUUGGAAAAAGUGUUUAUCCUGAGCUCAUAUAAUCUAAUCAUCACCAGCAGUCACAACUCCAACAUCAUCACUGUUACUACCUUUGUCAGAAUUAUCUGUAAACAUGAGACCUGGUAGUUUUUCUAUGCUUUAACAUCCAAUGUUAAAAAGAACUCUAGAUAUUAAGUAACACUCAAGUUUGAAUCUUGAGUGUUUGUAUUUUGAAGUAUUUUUUAUAAAAAUGUUGGAUACUUUGAAUAAUACCUUGAUCCGCUGAUAACUAUAAAGAGAUGAUAUCUUCAAACAUAAAAAUGCAGGAGUUCCCUUGUAGUGCAAAGGGUUAAAGAUCUGGUGUUGCCACUGCAGCGCCUUGGGUUGCUGCUGUGGUGCAGGUUCGAUCUCUAGCCUGAGAACUUCCACAUGUGGUGGGAGUGGCCAAAAAAACCCACAUCAAAAUGUAAAAAAAAAAUAACUAACUUCGCUUCCUUAUUAUAAGCAUUAUAAUCAGUAACAUGACAAAUCUUUUCAAGUGAAUUCAGGGUAAUCACAUUUCAAAAAAAUUGAGCAAAUCUGAAAAAAAUAGGUAUUUGUCCAUCUGUGAAUAUACUCUAUAAGCAGAAAUCAUUACAUUAUGAUCACAUAUUCCAGGUACUUAAAUUUUUUUUUGCUGAUAUAUCAGCACGUGAUUAAAAAAUACAUACACCUUAGAGUUCCCAUUGUGGCUCAGUGGUUAAUGAAUCCGACUAGGAACCAUGAGAUUGCGGGUUUGAUCCCUGGCCUUGCUCAGUGGGUUAAGGAUCUGGCGUUGCCAUGAGCUGUGGUGUAGGUUGCAGACACGGCUCAGAUUCAGCAUUGCUGUGGCUCUGGAGUAGGCCAGCAGCUAUAGCUCCGAUUAGACCCCUAGCCUGGGAACAUCCAUAUGCCAUGGGAGCAGCCCUAGAAACGAUAAAAAGAUAACAACAACAACAACAAAAAUACAUACACCUACAUACUCACUGCAUUCUAUUAUUUGCUUAAACCAAGGGGCAGUAUGGUUAACUGGCCACCACAAGAAUAGCAUUUGACAAGACUGCAAAAAAGAUCCUGACAUAGUGCUGGGAAACUGUUCCAGGAUAGAAUGGGCUCAAAGAUACAUAUUCUGAAAUGCUUACAACACUUUACUUCAGUGUAGCUGCUAAAUAUUUCUGAAUGUUUAUUUCAUUUCCAUUUUUAGUGCUAUAUCUUUUGCUAACAUAUACAAACUAAAAUUCUGAAAUUACAACAUUUCAGCCACCUACAAUUUCCAAUAAAUUUAUUUUGCUUAUUCAUAGGGCAUUGUUGCCUAUAUUGGAAGUGCUGGCAUGUGCUUUCAUGGGAAAAUACAGUGCUAUUCCCACAAUAUUCUCCAUAGGGAAAAUACCAGCCAGCAGGCAUACUACUCCUUGUCUGUUUCCCAUUAUCUAAUAUACAAUACACCCAUACCUACAAUUUUAUUAUUUCCUCUCUCUAGUUACUAUGGACAAAGAACCCCUCCUCCUUCCAAAGGUGCAACUCUUCAAAUUUUCUGAAUCUUAACCCCCUCCCCUUUCUGAGAGACAUUUCCAUCAGUUAUUACAUAAACACACACACACUAAUACACACAUACAAUCUUCUAAAUUUUCACUUACUCUCUUUUUGCUAUACCCUUGCCAUCAACAUUUAAAUAAACUGCCAAACAGGGUGAGCAAACACAAACCCUUGAUACUAUGAUGCCAUGCCCUCGAGCUACAGUCUUACCUCUUUACUGUCUUUCACAGAAAGCCCAUGCUGUCCCUCCCUCUCUCCCUCCACAUUAUCAUUACUGUUCUUUAUUAUUUUAAAUUUGAAUUAUGAAUGAAUUUUCUCCCUUCCUUCUUUUCUUUGUCCCUCUUCAACUAUACCUACCACCCUACCACCGUAUCAUCCACAUGUUUCUUGCUAAAUUCAUUAGUGACCAACAUGUUGCCAAAUUCAAGAAAUGCUUUUCAACCCUAAUCUUAUUUUGCAGCAGCUUUCAGCACAGUUGCUUUUGCCUUUCUUCUUGCAACAUUUCCUUCUCUUGGCUUCCAUGAUCCCAGUUCUCAUGAUUUUCUUUCCAGCCUUCUGUCUGCACCUCAGUUUCUUUUGUAGCCUCCUUUGUAUCUUCCUGAUUUAUAAAUGUUGGAGUGCCUCAGACUCAAUUCAGGUCCCCUUUCCUUGCCUUUUUAUAUUGUCUUAUCAGGUUAUCUCACUCACUGUUCUGGUUUCAGAGACCACAUGCAAGCCAAGGCAUUAUGUCUUCCUCUUCAGCUCCCUGCUAAGCUCUAGAUCCAAACUUUCAGAUGUUAUGUGCACAUUUUCAUUGGAAUCCAGGGACUCAGCUGUAGAUUACACAUAAAACCCCUUUAAUAUCCACCUCCACCAGCAACCACAUGAACUACUUGUGGUUCUGUGCUCAGAACUCUUUGGAUAAUUGAAGUUGUCCACUACAGGUGGAUGGCUAGAAGCCCUGUGUAUUUCUGAGAGUAAAUAGCAAUGAAUAAUUAUAAAGAAUAAAGGGAGACAUGCAACUCUAACAUAGCCCUUCUUCCUUUUCAUAAUAUUCAGCUAUGAUGAUGAUGGAAGUUUUUAUAGUUAACGGACCAACCAAUAACAAUACCUCUCUGGUAUGUUCAUACUUUUUCUAAUUAGCAGAGGUUGCUCUCUAAGAAGUCUUCUGAUUAUUUUUUUAUUUUUUUAUUAAAGUAUAGUUGAUUUAGGAGGAGUUCCCGUCAUGGCAUAGUGGUUAAAACGAAUCCAACUAGGAACCAUGAGGUUCGGGUUCAAUCCCUGGCCUUGCUCAGUGGGCUAAGGAUCUGGCAUUGCCGUGAGCUGUGGUGUAGGUCACAGACGCGGCUCAGAUCCUGCAUUGCUGUGGCUGUGGCAUAGGCCUUUGGCUACUGCUCCGAUUAGACCCCUAGCCUGGGAACCUCCAUGUGCCACAGGAAGCAGCCCUAGGAAAAGCAAACAG
rnacentral:lncRNA from 1 species